rnacentral:tRNA from 1 species
CGUUGGUCAAGCGGUUAAGACACCGCCCUUUCACGGCGGUAACACGGGUUCGAAUCCCGUACGGGUCA